rnacentral:rRNA from 1 species
UACGUAGGGGGCAAGCGUUGUCCGGAAUUAUUGGGCGUAAAGAGCUCGUAGGCGGCCGGUUGCGUCUGCUGUGAAAUCCCGGGGCUUAACCCCGGGCGUGCAGUGGAUACGGGCCGGCUGGAGGCAGGCAGGGGAGAAUGGAAUUCCCGGUGUAGCGGUGAAAUGCGCAAAUAUCGGGAGGAACACCGGUGGCGAAGGCGACUCUUUGGCCUGUAACUGACGCUGAGGCGCGAAAGCGUGGGGAGCAAACAGG